ACUCCUACGGGAGGCAGCAGUGGGGAAUAUUGCGCAAUGGGGGAAAGCCCUCGACGCAGCGACGCCGCGUGGGUGAUGAAGGCCUUCGGGUCGUAAAGCCCUGUCGGGAGGGACGAACAACCGGUGGAGUAAUAUGCCGCCGGCCUGACGGUACCUCCUAAGGAAGCACCGGCUAACUCCGUGCCAGCAGCCGCGGUAAUACGGAGGGUGCAAGCGUUGUUCGGAAUUACUGGGCGUAAAGCGCGUGUAGGCGGCUAUCUAAGUCUGGUGUGAAAGCCCGGGGCUCACCCCGAC
rnacentral:rRNA from 1 species